UUCUGAUUAAUUGCAGACUUCCAUUUUGGGCAAAACCCACAUUGUCCAUGGCUAAAUCCCCGUACUUAUCACAGAUCAAGAAUCCCUUUGCUGCCUAAAUCUUCUUUCAAACCAAUUUAAUACGGAAUUGUCUUCGACGGUGAUGAUUGUUGAUGGUUUGCAUAUUUUCUUUUUCCUGGUCGAUUCGCACGCGGUGGUAUCGGGAGAUUCUAUCCCUAGCUGUCAUUGCUCAAUCUUCCCCAUCCCUUGACUGACUUACAAAAAUCAACACUUUCAGCUGCCUUUCAUGUGAGCUAGCAAGGGGAGUAGUUGGAAGCUACGGUCAGGUUUCUAUGGAUAAAGAAUGGAUGCAUAUUGAAGAUAGAUUGAGGUCCAAUGAAUAUGCUGAGGGGGUUAAUCAAUUCAUCUCAAUGGCUCAAUUACAUGCCCCCGCGAGUGAUUCCAUUAGGUGUCCUUGUCGAAGAUGCCGUAAUAAUUUUUUCCAUCCAAUUAAUGUUGUGAAAGAUCAUCUGUUCUUGAGGGGGAUUGAUACUAAUUAUUGUCGAUGGAUAUUCCAUAGAGAAGAUGACCCUUUCAAUUCUAGGCAGUCACACGAUGAGGACGAAGGACCCGAGCUAGGUGACUACAUUGAUGACGUAGACGAGAUGUUAGAUGAUAUCCGAGUAGGAUCCUUUAUGGAUAGUGGAACUGGUUUUGAUGCUCGUGGUAGUGAAGAUGGUGGUGCACAACACGACUUUAGUGCUCCAAGACACCAGACCUUUGAACAAUGUUUUGAGGAUGCACGACGUCCACUCUAUCCAUCUUGUACAAACUUCUCGAAGCUAUCAUUUAUGGUGAAGUUGCUCCACAUCAAGACAGUUGGGGGUUGGAACAUGAAAUCCUUUAACAUGGUGAUAAAGCUAUUGAAAUCUGCAUUCCCGAAUGCUCUCUUGCCUGAAGACUAUAACAAUGCGUGUCGCUUAGAGCGUGGAUUGGGAUUUAGUUAUACCAAGAUACAUGUAUGCCCAAAUGAUUGUGUGCUGUUUUGGAAGGAAAAUAUCGACAAAGAUGAGUGUCCUAAAUGCAAUGCAUCUAGGUGGGUCUUGAGGAUAGCCAAUCAACGAGUACCUCAGAAAGUGAUGCGUUAUUUUCCUUUGAAGACAAGGUUGCAACGUCUUUAUAUGUCAAAGAAGACAGCACAAGCCAUGCGAUGGCAUAAAGAAGAACGUAUUGAUGAUCCAAGUUGUAUGAGGCAUCCGACAGAUUCUAAGAUUUGGAAAUCCUUUGAUAACAAACAUGAUUGGUUCGCCAAAGAUGCUCGUAAUGUGCGACUUGGUCUUGCAAGUGAUGGGUUUAACCCGUUCAAUAACAUGAGCAAACCCUUCAGCAUAUGGCCAGUAAUACUUCUGCCUUACAACUUGCCCCCUUGGUCUUGCAUGAAAGACCCAUACUUUAUGAUGACAUGUCUAAUCCCUGGUCCUAAAUCACCCGGAAAUGAUAUUGAUGUCUUUUUUCGUCCUUUAGUUGAUGAGUUGAAAGAAUUAUGGGAAAAUGGUAUUGAGACAUAUGAUGCAUUCAGUUCACAGGUUUUUCAAUUACACAUAGCACUACUCUGGACUAUCAAUGACUUCCCUGCAUAUGCCAAUCUUUCUGGAUGGAGCACGAAGGGAAAGAUGGCAUGUCCUACAUGUAAUUCAGAAACUAAUUCUAUGUGGUUGGAAUAUGGGCGUAAACAUUGUUAUAUGGGCCACCGUUGAUGGUUGGCCCCGUAUCACCCUUGGAGAAAGAAAAAGCGUGUUUUUGAUGGUAAAGAAGAAUAUCGGGUUCAACCAGCAAAACUUACAUCCCAAGAUAUACUUGAACAACUGCGCAUGGUCUCUAACGUGCAAUUUGGCAAGGGUUCGCAGAAGAGGAAACAGGCACCACAAGAAUUAAAUUAGACAAAAAAGAGCAUCUUUUUUUUAUCUUCCGUACUGGCUAGACUUGGAAUUGAGACAUAACCUCGACGUAAUGCAUAUUGAGAAAAACAUCUGUGAUAGUGUAUUAGGGACAUUGUUGAGUAUUGAUGGAAAGAGUAAGGACACCGCAAGUGCACGUAGGGAUUUGGCCAAACUCGAACUAAGGAAAGAAUUACAUUUAAGGCAUGAUGGUGAUCGUUGCUCGAUGAGUCUUGGAUGUUACACCCUAAAUCGUAAUGAGAGAAUAACUUUUUGUCAGUAGUUGUCACAAGUUACAUUUCCGGACGGCUUUGCCUCAAAUAUUGCACGGUGUGUGAACAUUAAUGAAGGCAAAAUUUCAGGAAUGAAAAGUCAUGAUUGUCAGAUCUUCUUGCAAAGGUUGCUUCCAGUCGUGAUUGGUGGUUACCUACGGCCCGACAUUCGCCUAGCUUUGAUCGAGUUAAGUACUUUUUUCAAAGAGCUGUGUGCACGACAAUUGACUCUGGAAUCAUUGCAUCGGCUUUAGGCAGAUAUAUCUAUCAUCCUCUAUAAACUUGAGAUGAUAUUCCCACCAGCAUUUUUUGAUAUAAUGGUGUACCUUGCAAUUCAUUUACCAGAUGAGGCAAUGCUUGCAGGACCAGUGCAAUACAGGUGGAUGUACCCAUUUGAGAGGUACCUGGGGAAGUUCAAGCAUUACGUUCGGAACAAAGCCCGCCCUGAGGGCUCAAUUGCUGAAGCCUAUGUUCAUGUUGAGUGCUUGACGUUUUGCUCUACGUAUCUAAAUGACAUUGAGACCAUAUAUCAUCGUGUUGAAAGAAACUCAGACAUUACAGAACCAUCUAAUGAUGGAUUUCUCUCGGUCUUCCCACAAAAGAUUCUACAGAAUUGCCUACUCGAAAAUGUGGUCGGGGACCAGCAAAAGACACUUUAUUUGAACGCGUUCGUAAAUUUGGGAAGAUACCUUUGAACAUUAAGGAUGGACAAAGAGGUCUAUCGUGUGAGAAUUACAAUAUAUUUUCUGGACGAGUGACAAUGAUUGUGAGACUUCAUGCAAACAUGCGUCAUGCAAGCUGGAAAGCAGUAGAGAAAGAGGAGAAAUAUGAGCUCGUUGAGCGUGUUCGAGCUGACUUUAUAUUGGAUUGGACACAAAGUUCCCAUCGUGAGUGUGUGACAAAUGCACUUGCUCGAAAAUACAAUGCAUUCCACUACCUCUUACGAAAGCAAUACCUGGGGUAUGCAACGCACGAAGCAGCACUUUUUGGUGGGACAACCUGGAUGGAGAAGUCCGUAUGGGAACACUUAUGUGAAAUGUAGUCAAGUGAAGGCUUCAAGAAAAUGUCAAAGGGAAAUAAAAAAAAUAGGCGAAAACAACAAGUCAACCAUACUGGUGGGAGAAAACCUUUCGUUAGGAUUAUGGAGGAAAUGGUAAGAUGUAGUUAGUAAAUUCAUUAUUAUUUCUAGCUCAUAUAUUUCUUGCAUAUGUGAUUGGAGUACCUAACAAAGUCUUUGAUGAUAAAGAAUGAACAAGUCCCAAACUUGAUAGCUUUUUAUAAAGAAGCGCAUUGGUCAAGAAAGAAAGGUAGAUUUAUCACUGACACAGCAGAAAAGAAUUACAAUCUGAUGCUUGAGCGGUUGGAUGAGACCGAGAUUGAUGCAGGGAACAGAGAUGAAGCUAGUAAUGCAGCUUUCAAGGAGGUUUUAGGAUUUCGAUCAGGUUAUGCAACUGGACUAGGCCACAGUGUAGUACCUGAACCAUCUCCUUACAUGCGCAACAAUAGGGAUUAUCAACGUAUUGUUGAAGAGAAUGAGAAGAACAAGAAUGAUGUAAAUUUGUACAAGAGUCAGUUAGAGGCAGUGAGAGCUGAUUUACUAGAAUUCAAGAACCAAUUUAAAGAUUAUGAGAGGUUGAUGAACACUCACAUGGCUGAUUUGGAGUGCCGGAGGGAGUCUCAUCAAGUGACUCCCAUUGAUGCUUAGGCAUCUUGGCUAGUUGAAAUUAGCCCUUGUUUUUAUUUUUUGAACUUUUUUUGAAGGUUGAGCAGCUAGUUGAUGGGGAUGAUGGUUUUGAAAAAACUUUUGUUGAGCAACUUAGAGUGUGGCUUGGUUGGAAGUUUUGAAGAAGAUUUGGCAAGUCCAUGCAUAUUGACAGGUGCAUAUUACUCCUGUCAUGCUUGGUCCGUGUAUGUAAUUACAUAUGCCAUUUGAUAUUAUCUGAUUUAUGUCCUGAAAUAUACGUAGAUAAAUUUGUAUGUGAAUUAUGUGACACAUGAUAGGAUUGGCAGUUGGAUAUGUACACUGAAAAUGUCGAGAUUGUAUUUUAUUUGAUUUUGGGACAUUAUCUGUUUUGAUACCUUCAUAGGAAUCACUAAAUUAGUCCAGAAACUAUCAUUAAGGGUAGUUUGUUUUUGAUGAGAAGACAAAAAUUAUACUUGAGUUUGUGAAGUCUGCUAGUUGUACAAUUUAUUGUCACAAUUAUAUUAAUGGACAACAGUGUUUCUUGAUAUUUUUAUGCAACGG